AAUCACACGAACUGCUGCUUUGGAGCCCCACGCCAUCCACUUCCCCUUCUUCCUUCCGAUUAGCCCCCCCCCUCCGUCUCGCCCGCGUUUCAUGGCUACCGUCCCGACAUCCAUGUCUGUUUUUGUGUUGUUUUUAAUACGGGGCCGAGCAGGCAACAACGCACCCGUGCCCACCUAUCUCCUAUGAACCACACACCGUCACAGAAACACACGCACUCGCACAACGCCGCGUCCACGCUGCCGACAAUGGCUUCUUCCCGCCCCAUCCACACCCUUCCCCUGUCUCUCUCUCCCACCGCAUCUGUGAGCUUCAGCGCACGCUUGCGCAUGCUUGCUCUCUGUGCGCUGCUCCUCUGUUACUUGCAUCGUUCAUGUUCCGCUGUUUUGUCGUUUCUUUUACAUCCUCAGCUCCGCACACCUUGAGGGGUCUGCUGUCCAUCUCUGGGCACCCUCUCUUUCUCUUUAUCCUGUGCUGCAUGCCCUUCUCUCUCUCUGUGGGACCCCUUCCCGUCAGCGACUAGACACGGGCAGAGACGCGGACACGUCUGCAAGUAUAAAAGUACACCUCUGUAUAUAUAUGUAGGUUUACGUGUAUAAGAUUGCAGUCCGUCUACACUUCUGAUUUAUCGUAUGUGAUUUGGCACCGUCUUUUUUAUUUCGCAUGCCGACAACGGACUUUGCGAAAUCAUCGCUGUCUUUCCUCGGCGCCAUCGUUCUGCUUUUGAUCUAGUCCGUGUGCUGGCUUGCGUGAGUGCGUGCCGUCGUGUGUCUCUGUCUGCUCAUCUCCUCCGCUUUCCAGCUUCAUUUCAUCCCUUGAUGACGCAGGACACCUCUCAGUGCAUGGCUUCAAGGACCAGUGCGCCUGCUCUCGGUGGGGAGAUUCCAGGCGGCCAUCCUAUUCCCGGCUCAUGCUGAACCACAUCUCUGUUGGUCAGAGGGUCGCGUGCCUACGACAUGGCGAGGUCCGUGGGAGCCAUCGCUGCUGAUGUCGGCGGUGAGGUCCCGGAUGGGGGUUCGUCGGAGAGCGGCACGCGGCAGAGAGCACGCUUGUGCCAUCCAUGUGAUAGGCAGAGUGUCCGCGUGACUCCAGCGUGUCCCCCUCCCGGCCCUCACACGGCUUGCUGGUGUGGAGGGGAGCCUGCGUGUCACCCCGAGGGGGAUGUACCAGGGGUGGAGACCGGCAUGAUGGAAGGAGCGGCUGCAACGCGGUGUUUUGGUGGGUAGAGUUUGAUGAGGAGCUCAUGCUCUCAGUUGGCUGGGCCGGCGCACUGCUGC
rnacentral:misc_RNA from 1 species